rnacentral:rRNA from 1 species
CACGUAGGCACCAAGCGUUGUCCGGAUUUAUUGGGCGUAAAGAGCUCGUAGGCGGUUCAGUAAGUCGGGUGUGAAAACUCUGGGCUCAACCCAGAGACGCCACCCGAUACUGCUGUGACUUGAGUACGGUAGGGGAGUGGGGAAUUCCUGGUGUAGCGGUGAAAUGCGCAGAUAUCAGGAGGAACACCAGUGGCGAAGGCGCCACUCUGGGCCGUAACUGACGCUGAGGAGCGAAAGCGUGGGUAGCGAACAGG